UAAAUCACCCAUAGUUUUUGUAACACCCCAAUAAUCCCGCAUUGGGUGAGAAAAUAAUUCUGAUUAGAAUAUAUGAGGCAUACAUGCUAGUAAAAAUAACUGGGCUUAAGCAGUUUGAGCCGGUGGUUUUGGGUCCAACGAGUUAUUGAUGCUAGCGGGUCAGAUCAUUGCAAUUGGUAUCAGAGCCGAAAACCAGCCGGAAGUGUAAGAGCUAAGUGCUAUGCGGGGCAAAAUGCUACACCAACGGAUUUGGUGGGAGCCACCUCUUGAACCCAUAGGAGCUACCUCUAGAAUUAAUCUCACGUCGCCUGAUAAUUCUGGUCUGUAUCUGUGAUCUGAUUUGGACCGAACGAGAACAUCAGGGUCUAAACAGGGGGAGUUUGUAAUGCCCCAAUAGUCCCACAUUGGGUGGAAAAAUGAUUCUGAUUAGAAUAUAUGAGACCUACACGAUAGUAAUAAUAAUUGGGCUUAAGUAUUUCGAACCAGUGGUUUUGGGCCCAACGAGUUAUUGUUGCUAGCGGGUCCGGUCGUUACAAUUAGUAUUAGAGACGAAUACCAGCCAAAAGUAUGAGAGCAAAGUGUUAUGCGGGACACAAUACUACAUCAACAAAUUUGGUGAGAGCCAACUCUUGAACUCGUAGGAACCCCAAUAAUCCCACAUCGGAUGGGAAAGAAGUUUUGAUUUGGUAUAUAAGAGACCUCCACGCUAGUAAUAAUAACUGGGCUUAUUGUUGCUAGCAGGUCGGGGUUACAAUUGAUAUCAGAGCCGAAUACCAGCCGAAAGUGUGAGAGCUAAGUGUUAUGCAGGGCAAAGUGCUACACCAAUGGAUUUAGUAGGAGACACCUCUUGAACUCGUAGAAGUCACCUCUAGAAUCUCAUAUCGCCUAGUAAUUCUGGUCUAUAUCUGUGAUAUAGUUUGGACCCGACGAAAACGUCAAGGUCUAAACAGGGGGAGUUUGUAAAAAUAAUUCUGAUUACAAUAUAUAAGGCCUCCAUGCUAGUAAUAAUAACUGGACUUAAGUAUUUUGGGCCGGUGGUUUCGGCCCAACGAGUUAUUGUUGCUAAGAGGUCGAAUCGUUACAAUUGAUAUCAGAGCCGAAUACCAGCUAAAAAUGUGAGAGCUAAGUGCUAUGCAGAACAAAGUGCUACACCAAUGGAGCUACACCAACGGAUUUGGUGGGAGCCACCUCUUGAACCCGUAAGAGCUACCUCUAGAAUCUCACAUCACCUGAUAAUUCUGGUCUGCAUCUAUGACCUGGUUUGGAUCCGACAAGUAUGUUAGAGUCUAAAUAGGGGAAGCUUGUAACGCCCCAACAGUCCCACAUCGGAUGUAAUAAUAACUAGGCUUAACCAUUUUGGGCCGAUGGUUUGGUCCCAACAAGUUAUUAUUACUAGCGGGUCGGGUCGUUACAAUUGAUAUCAGAGCCGAAUACUAGCCGGAAGUGUGAGAGUUAUAAGUGCUAUGCGGAGCAAAGUGUUACACCAACGGAUUUGGUGGGAGCCACCUCUUGAACCCAUAGGAGCCACUUUUAGAAUCUCACAUCGCCUGGUAAUUCUGGUCUACAUCUGUGAUCUGGUUUGGACCCAACGAUGACAUAAAGGUCUAAACAAGGGGAGUUUGUAACACCCCAAUAGUCCCACAUUGGGUGAAAAAAUAAUUCUGAUUAGAAUAUAAGAGGCCUACACGCUAGUAAUAAUAACUGGGCUUAAGUAUUUUAAGCCGGUGGUUUAAGCCCAACGAAUUAUUAUUACUAGCAGGUCGGGACAUAUUUGAAAAUAUCAUGACUUUUGUAGAAAUAACAUAUAUGAAAGUUGAACUUUAUAGGAAUAUAUUUGUAAUUUACUAUAUUUGCAAAGACCCGUAUGAAAUUAACCCUAUUGCUUAAUAUCAAUCUGACCCGAAACAACCCUGCCACCUCCUACUUUUGUGUUCUGUCCCCACAAUUUGCUGGUUGUGUAAAACUCAAAUGUUACAUCAAAUGAAUGCAAUCAAAA
rnacentral:lncRNA from 1 species